GUGGGGAAUCUUAGACAAUGGGGGAAACCCUGAUCUAGCCAUGCCGCGUGAGCGAUGAAGGCCUUAGGGUUGUAAAGCUCUUUCAGCUGGGAAGAUAAUGACGGUACCAGCAGAAGAAGCCCCGGCUAACUCCGUGCCAGCAGCCGCGGUAAUACGGAGGGGGCUAGCGUGUUUCGGAAUUACUGGGCGUAAAGCGCGCGUAGGCGGACCAGAAAGUUGGAGGUGAAAUCCCAGGGCUCAACCUUGGAACUGCCUUCAAAACUCCUGGUCUGGAGUUCGAGAGAGGUGAGUGGAAUUCCGAGUGUAGAGGUGAAAUUCGUAGAUAUUCGGAGGAACACCAGUGGCGAAGGCGGCUCACUGGCUCGAUACUGACGCUGAGGUGCGAAAGCGUGGGGAGCAAACAGGAUUAGAUACCCGUGUAGUCC
rnacentral:rRNA from 1 species